rnacentral:rRNA from 1 species
CCUACGGGGGGCAGCAGUGGGGAAUAUUGGACAAUGGGCGAAAGCCUGAUCCAGCCAUGCCGCGUGUGUGAAGAAGGCCUUCGGGUUGUAAAACACUUUCAGUGGGGAAGAAAGCCUUGGGGCUAAUACCCUCGAGGAAGGACAUCACCCACAGAAGAAGCACCGGCUAACUCCGUGCCAGCAGCCGCGGUAAUACGGAGGGUGCGAGCGUUAAUCGGAAUUACUGGGCGUAAAGCGCGCGUAGGCGGUCUGAUAAGCCGGUUGUGAAAGCCCCGGGCUCAACCUGGGAACGGCAUCCGGAACUGUCAGGCUAGAGUGCAGGAGAGGAAGGUAGAAUUCCCGGUGUAGCGGUGAAAUGCGUAGAGAUCGGGAGGAAUACCAGUGGCGAAGGCGGCCUUCUGGACUGACACUGACGCUGAGGUGCGAAAGCGUGGGUAGCAAACAGGAUUAGAUACCCGUGUAGUC